rnacentral:rRNA from 1 species
UGCCUUCGGGCACAGUGGCGAACGGCGGAGUAAUACAUAAGCAACGUGCCCCAAAGACCGGGAUAGUCGCUGGAAACGGCGGGUAAUACCGGAUGAGGCCCUCACCCGGCAUCGGGAGAGGAUCAAAUGGUUUUUCGCUUUGGGAGCGGCUUAUGGCCUAUCAGGUUGUUGGUGAGGUAACGGCUCACCAAGCCGACGACGGGUAGCGGGUCUGAGAGGAUGAUCCGCUCGAGUGGGACUGAGACACGGCCCACACACCUACGGGUGGCAGCAGUUGGGAAUCUUGCACAAUGGGGGAAACCCUGAUGCAGCGACGCCGCGUGGAGGACGAAGGAUCUAGGUCUGUAAACUCCUUUUAUCGGGAAAGACUUAGGACGGUACCCGAUGAAUAAGCACCGGCUAACUACGUGCCAGCAGCCGCGGUAAGACGUAGGGUGCGAGCGUUGUCCGGAUUUACUGGGCGUAAAGAGCGCGUAGGCGGUCUGUUAAGUGUGAAGUGAAAUCUCCAGGGCUCAACCCGGAAACUGCUUUGCAAACUGACAGACUGGAGGGAUGCAGAGGUAAGUGGAAUUCCUGGUGUAGCGGUGAAAUGCGUUGAUAUCAGGAGGAA